UACGUAGGGUGCAAGCGUUUAAUCGGAAUUACUGGGCGUAAAGCGUGCGCAGGCGGUUUUGUAAGUCUGACGUGAAAUCCCCCGGGCUCAACCUGGGAAUUGCGUUGGAGACUGCAAGGCUAGAAUCUGGCAGAGGGGGGUAGAAUUCCACGUGUGAGCAGUGAAAUGCGUAGAUAUGUGGAGGAACACCGAUGGCGAAGGCAGCCCCCUGGGUCAAGAUUGACGCUCAUGCACGAAAGCGUGGGGAGCAAACAGG
rnacentral:rRNA from 1 species